rnacentral:rRNA from 1 species
CUCGUAGUUGGAUCUAGGGUGCUGGUCGGUGGUCCGCCGCAAGGUGUGUACUGUCGGCCGGUCUCUUUUUUCUGGUUUUCCGGCGGUUCUCUUAACUGAGUGUCGUCGGUGGCCAGUGCGUUUACUUUGAAAAAAUUAGAGUGUUUAAAGCAGGCUGUUUGCCUGAAUAUCGGUGCAUGGAAUAAUGGAAUAGGACCUCGAGUCUAUUUUGUUGGUUUUCGGAAGCGAGGUAAUGAUUAAGAGGGACAGACGGGGGCAUCCGUACUCUGCCGUUAGAGGUGAAAUUCUUGGAUCGGCGGAAGACGAACUAUUGCGAAAGCAUUUGCCAAGAAUGUUUUCUUUAAUCAAGAGCGAAAGUCAGAGGUUCGAAGACGAUCAGAUACCGUCCUAGUUCUGACCAUAAACGAUGCCAACUAGCGAUCCGCCGGCGUUACCAUGACGACUCGGCGGGUAGCUCCCGGGAAACCAAAGUCUUUGGGUUCCGGGGGAAGUAUGGUUGCAAAGCUGAAACUUAAAGGAAUUGACGGAAGGGCACCACCAGGAGUGGAGCCUGCGGCUUAAUUUGACUCAACACGGGGAAACUCACCCGGCCCGGACACAGGUAGGAUUGACAGAUUGAGAGCUCUUUCUUGAUUCUGUGGGUGGUGGUGCAUGGCCGUUCUUAGUUGGUGGAGCGAUUUGUCUGGUUAAUUCCGAUAACGAACGAGACUCUAAUAUGCUAAAUAGUUACGCGACCUUAUCGGUCGGCGUUUUGAAACUUCUUAGAUAGACUAGUGGCGUUUAGCCACACGAAAGUGAGCAAUAACAGGUCUGUGAUGCCCUUAGAUGUCCGGGGCUGCACGCGC